GACUGGCUCAGCUGGCCAGAGUAUGGUGCUGAUGUUGCCAAGGUCAUGGGUUUGAUCCCCAUAUAGGUCA
rnacentral:tRNA from 1 species